rnacentral:lncRNA from 1 species
GGUCGGACCCCGCUGAACAGAGAGGAGGACGCAGAGCGCUGCCGGGCGGUGGCUCUCGGAGGGCCGGGGUUGUGAGGAGUUACAGGAAGCAGCGCCUAAGCGACAGGGCUCUCCAUGUCAGCCGGGCACCUUGCCAUCUCACUAGAAGACUUCUCAGCCCUCCUCAAAGCUUGGUGUAGCCUGAAGGAUAGCUGAUAAAAUCUGCAGGGUAUUCAAAGAAAAGAUGCUGACCUGAUUGUGGUGGGUUGAAUGGCGAACUUCAGGAACGUUAUGCAUGUAAGAACUUUAAUGUUUUUAAAGAGGAAGGACUAACAAGAAGGACUCACCAGUGCUCAAUUCCCAGCUGGUUGUGUGGGAACAUGAGGAAAGAUGAGCUUGCCCACCUUGGCUACAGAGAGUCAGAGAAAGACUGGAGCAGGAAAGAAGCUGGUAGGAAGCAACUUCUGGUUGAAAAGAGAUUGGAGACAGCUCCCACAGCUGCGCACCACAUCCCCACACAGGGUCAUCGGCAGCCUCAGUGGUGUGACACUGGGAGUGAGGAGGCAGAACAGUAGCAGGUCCCCAGGGUGCUGCGCUCCUGGUUCUCCAUGUCCUUUGUGUGCCACGGUGCUCCACAGAUCUCCACGGGGCUCUGGUUGGCCUUGGAGGCUGGAGAAGAAGGAAACAACUCUGGGAAGUCUGAACAUCUGCUAAAAUCAUGAUGGUUGGGGAUGAGCUCAUAGCAGGACACGUUCAUCCCCCAAUCACCAAACACCAUAACCCUACCAGGAACCUCAAACAGAUGGGUGGAAGGUAUUUUAUGUGUCGUCUCUGAUGAAUUGCAAAGCAUUUUUCCAUGUGUUCUGUAAUUUUUCUGUGUGUUUUGGGAGUAGUUUGUGCAGGAUUUGGUUAGGUAGUUGUGAUUUACUGAGGGAACAAGGGACUACCAUCAGAGGUUCCACAUUUUAUUUGUGAUUGUGUGACCUUGAAUCUGUAAGAUGGGGAUAAUACCUUCUUAGCCCUCUUCACGAGAGGAUGUAAAGACUGAGUGAGAUAAUGUAGUUUCUUUGUAGAUUCUGAGAUACUAAAAUGCAGGUUACCACUACCAAGAAUAAUACAGAACUGGUGGACUUGGGUUCUUCCUUUGGACUCUGGUAGUUGCUAUUUGCUUACAUUAGCUUUCUCCUUUCUGUGUUACAAGUGCUGCAGUGAUGGAAGAGCUGAGUCUUGUAUGAGUUCCAGGUCUCCUGGAACAGUGCAGUGCAAUCUUCCAUUAUAUGAAUCGAGAUAAACUUGGCAGAGGUUCUCAGCUUCUGAGUCGAUUUUCAUUUCCUGGAGUAAAUUCUGCAAUGGAUCAAGGGAUAGAAAUUGAAUGAAGAAAACAGAUUUACUGAAGAUCAUCUACAAAAAGAAUCCUGCCCUUCCCGCAUCUCGCCAACAGUGCCUGUGAGUUCACUCUAAUUGAAGGUGAGUUUUUACCAGGGGUCUGAGCUAUAAGAUAGCAGCGGAUCAGAAAAUUGGCUUUAAAAAAAAAUCAACAGACCUUAGUUUUUGUGAUUCAUUCCACUUUAUUUCCAAAUUAAGACAAAAAAUUAAGUUUAGAAAUUUAACAGCUUUACAGGAAAGUACAGGAAAGAAAGUGUAACAUAAUAAUCUUUAAUUUUCCUACCAGCAAGAUUAAACUACUGUUGAUUUUUGUGUAUUUGCUACUAGUUUUUAUUGUUUCCUAUUUUGGUGAAAAAAAUUCGCUGUACUGUACAGUUUUUAUAAAAUUGAUGUGUGAAUUCAACCAACGCAGAAAAGGUGAAAGGGACUGAAAAAAUUUAGUCAUUGCAAUCAACCUCAAAACAAACAUCAAUAACAUAUGACGAACAUCAGUACAGACAUCUUUUUAGUCAUACAAAUAUAAAGAAGAGCUAGAAAUACAUUCAUAAAAAUGAGAUCAUGUUACAGGUACCAUUUUUGAUAAAAGUUUAUACAAUGACUUUGUUUCCAUUUUUUUCCUCUUAUAUUUUUUCCUUUCCCUUUUUUUCCCUUCCCUUACCCCUCCCAAUUCCCCUGCUCUUUUAGACCUUUUCUUCCUGUUACACAGUAUCAGUUAUACAUUUUUAAAAUUACAAUAUUAAGAUCUAGGAGACAUUACCAC